CGGAGGAUCCAAGCGUUAUCCGGAAUCAUUGGGUUUAAAGGGUCCGUAGGCGGGCCUGUAAGUCAGUGGUGAAAUCUUUCGGCUCAACCGGAAAAUUGCCAUUGAUACUGCAGGCCUUGAAUUAUUGGGAAGUAACUAGAAUAUGUAGUGUAGCGGUGAAAUGCUUAGAUAUUACAUGGAAUACCGAUUGCGAAGGCAGGUUACUACCAAUACAUUGACGCUGAUGGGCGAAAGCGUGGGGAGCGAACAGGAUUAGAUACCCUGGUAGUCCACGCCGUAAACGAUGGAUACUAGCUGUUGGAGCAAUCUCAGUGGCUAAGCGAAAAGUGAUAAGUAUCCCACCUGGGGAGUACGAACGCAAGUUUG
rnacentral:rRNA from 1 species